rnacentral:rRNA from 1 species
AGAUGCUAAUACCGCAUAACAACUUGGACCGCAUGGUCCGAGCUUGAAAGAUGGCUUCGGCUAUCACUUUUGGAUGGUCCCGCGGCGUAUUAGCUAGAUGGUGGGGUAACGGCUCACCAUGGCAAUGAUACGUAGCCGACCUGAGAGGGUAAUCGGCCACAUUGGGACUGAGACACGGCCCAAACUCCUACGGGAGGCAGCAGUAGGGAAUCUUCCACAAUGGACGAAAGUCUGAUGGAGCAACGCCGCGUGAGUGAAGAAGGGUUUCGGCUUGUAAAACUCUGUUGUUAAAGAAGAACAUAUCUGAGAGUAACUGUUCAGGUAUUGACGGUAUUUAACCAGAAAGCCACGGCUAACUACGUGCCAGCAGCCGCGGUAAUACGUAGGUGGCAAGCGUUGUCCGGAUUUAUUGGGCGUAAAGCGAGCGCAGGCGGUUUUUUAAGUCUGAUGUGAAAGCCUUCGGCUCAACCGAAGAAGUGCAUCGGAAACUGGGAAACUUGAGUGCAGAAGAGGACAGUGGAACUCCAUGUGUAGCGGUGAAAUGCGUAGAUAUAUGGAAGAACACCAGUGGCGAAGGCGGCUGUCUGGUCUGUAACUGACGCUGAGGCUCGAAAGUAUGGGGUAGCAAACAGGAAUUAGAUACCCUGGGUAGUCCAUACCGUAAAACGAUGAAUGCUAAGUGUUGGAAGGGUUUCCCGCCCCUUCAGUGCUGC